rnacentral:sRNA from 1 species
AAUGAGAAGCUUGAGCUGAUGGGC